UUUUUAGAGUGGGAGAAAUAACAUGGCUGAAAAAUGUAUGAGAAAUCUUAUGUUGGUGAUGAUAGAAUUGAUUAUUCUCAUAUUACUUGAAGUGCAUGCUAAUGACCGUACCUCUCUCUCUCUCUCUCUCGCUCCCACUCCACUACCCACCGGCAUUCAUACCUUUCAACUUGAUAAUGGUUAUAUGACUCCUAUCCAUAUUUGCCUCGAAAGUACACUUCAAACAUGUGAAAAAAUACCAGCAAUGAUUCGUUUGGAGCGGUGUAUUGCUAAUACUAUUUUUUCCUGCAUUUUUGGGAACCUAAUACAUCCCAACAAACGUGCAGCUAUCAAGAGAAAGUGCUUACCUUUUUGUAUCAUGGAAAAGGAAACCCAUGGCUUCAGUUUUGCAUCAUGUUUAGUAGACUGUUGUGAAAGCUACAUUGCAAAGCAUUAAAUGCCUAUAUCUAGAACCGAUGAGCUUCGAGUUUGAUCAAAGCCACACAAACUGACAGGUGUGACACUUAGACCCAUCAAUGCAUUUCUUGUGAUUAUGUGAGAGUGUUUUGAAGGAGGAACAAACUCCUUUUACAUGAAGGAGUACUCUUGAGGAUGACAGAUCACGUGAGGAGGAUGAUUCGUUUGGAGGACAUAGUGAGGAUCAUUUUUUAGGAGCUUAGACCUUAUUUGGUUAAAGAAUAUAUGGGAUGGUGAUGAUGACACUCAUCACAGCAUGAUGGAGAUCCUACAUUUGAUUUACCUUCUUAAAAUUAGGCCUUAAAUCUUUAUGUUUAUUUAUGACUCUUAUACUAGGUUUGUAAUAUUUAAGCUAUGUUGGAGACUGGUCUUUGACUAUGAUAUUUGGAGACUUAUCUAUGUUA